rnacentral:rRNA from 1 species
GACGAACGCUGGCGGCGUGCUUAACACAUGCAAGUCGAACGGAAAGGCCCUGCUUUUGUGGGGUGCUCGAGUGGCGAACGGGUGAGUAACACGUGAGUAACCUGCCCUUAACUUUGGGAUAACUUCAGGAAACUGGGGCUAAUACCGGAUAGGAGCUCCUGCUGCAUGGUGGGGGUUGGAAAGUUUCGGCGGUUGGGGCUGGACUCGCGGCUUAUCAGCUUGUUGGUGGGGUAGCGGCUUACCAAGGCUUUGACGGGUAGCCGGCCUGGGAGGGUGACGGGCCACAUUGGGACUGAGAUACGGCGCAGACUCCUACGGGAGGCAGCAGUGGAGAAUAUUGCACAAUGGGCCGAAGCCUGAGGCAGCAACGCUGCGUGCGGGAUAACGGCCUUCGGGUUGUAAACCGCUUUCGCCUGUGACGAAGCGUGAGUGACGGUAAUGGGUAAAGAAGCACCGGCUAACUACGUG